rnacentral:rRNA from 1 species
GAUGAACGCUGGCGGCGUGCCUAAUACAUGCAAGUCGAGCGAACAGACGAGGAGCUUGCUCCUCUGACGUUAGCGGCGGACGGGGGAGUAAAACGUGGAUAACCUACCUAUAAGACUGGGAUAACUUCGGGAAACCGGAGCUAAUACCGGAUAAUAUAUUAAACCGCAUGGUUCAAUAGUGAAAGACGGUUUUGCUGUCACUUAUAGAUGGAUCCGCGCCGCAUUAGCUAGUUGGUAAGGUAACGGCUUACCAAGGCAACGAUGCGUAGCCGACCUGAGAGGGUGAUCGGCCACACUGGAACUGAGACACGGUCCAGACUCCUACGGGAGGCAGCAGUAGGGAAUCUUCCGCAAUGGGCGAAAGCUUGACGGAGCAACGCCGCGUGAGUGAUGAAGGUCUUCGGAUCGUAAAACUCUGUUAUUAGGGAAGAACAAAUGUGUAAGUAACUAUGCACGUCUUGACGGUACCUAAUCAGAAAGCCACGGCUAACUACGUG